AUGGGAGGAGGCAACGGCCAAAAGGCAAAGAUGGCUCGGGAGAGGAACCUCGAGAAGCAGAAGGGCGGCAAGGGGAGCCAACUUGAAACCAACAAGAAAGCCAUGUCGAUCCAGUGCAAAGUGUGCAUGCAAACAUUUAUCUGCACCACAUCAGAAGUCAAGUGCAAGGAGCAUGCUGAGGCGAGACACCCUAAAUCUGAUCUCUUCACAUGUUUUCCUCAUCUUAAACCCUGA